UGUGUACUCCCUCCGUUCCAAAAUACUUGACUUCCAUUUGUCCAAAAAUGGAUGUACCUAUAUACUAAAACAUGUCUAGGUACAUAUAUAUUUUGACAAAUAUAAGGCAUGUAUUGUGCAACGGAGGGAGUAGAGU
rfam:Triticum aestivum genome assembly, contig: Triticum_aestivum_CS42_TGACv1_scaffold_322778_4BL